rnacentral:rRNA from 1 species
UACGGAGGGUGCAAGCGUUAUCCGGAUUCACUGGGUUUAAAGGGUGCGUAGGCGGGUUGGUAAGUCCGUGGUGAAAUCCCCAAGCUUAACUUGGGAACUGCCGUGGAUCUAUCAAUCUUGAAUAUCGUGGAGGUAAGGCGGAAUAUGUCAUGUAGCGGUGAAAUGCUUAGAUAUGGACAUAGAACACCAAUUGCGUAGGCAGCUUACUACACGAUCAUUGACGGCUGAGGCACGAAAGCGUGGGGAGCAAACAGG